rnacentral:rRNA from 1 species
UGGGGAAUAUUGGACAAUGGGCGAAAGCCUGAUCCAGCCAUGCCGCGUGUGUGAAGAAGGUCUUCGGAUUGUAAAGCACUUUAAGUUGGGAGGAAGGGUUGUAGAUUAAUACUCUGCAAUUUUGACGUUACCGACAGAAUAAGCACCGGCUAACUCUGUGCCAGCAGCCGCGGUAAUACAGAGGGUGCAAGCGUUAAUCGGAAUUACUGGGCGUAAAGCGCGCGUAGGUGGUUUGUUAAGUUGGAUGUGAAAUCCCCGGGCUCAACCUGGGAACUGCAUCCAAAACUGGCAAGCUAGAGUAUGGUAGAGGGUGGUGGAAUUUCCUGUGUAGCGGUGAAAUGCGUAGAUAUAGGAAGGAACACCAGUGGCGAAGGCGACCACCUGGACUGAUACUGACACUGAGGUGCGAAAGCGUGGGGAGCAAACAGGAUUAGAUACCCACGUAUUCCCUGAGCGGGCUGGCAAGGCGCAU